UUCCCUACCACUUUGCAUCCUCUGUUGAAUAGAAGACGAAAUCUUCGCAGUCUUAAAAAACCCGUCGUGGGUGUUGUGUGUUUAAAUUUCAACAUACCUGUUAAAUUUUCAAAAAAAAGAAUUCCUUUUUUGUAGUACUUUUAUCAUCAAUUAUUUACGAAGCUGGAAAGUGAGUGAUGUGAUAUUAAGUUCCAAUUCUUGAUAAUGGACUAUGAAUUAGAAAAGGAUUUAAAAUACAACAAAUAAUGAAGAAAAUCUCGAGAGCCUUUGGGUCCGGUUCAUCUCAUCUUCAGGAGAUGCCUACACUACAGGAUUACGGAAAGCUGUCAAAGCUGAGAAAAUUCAAGAGCUUUUGGAACCGAUGAUCAACAUUUGAUCUCACCCCUUGAAAAUAAUGAUUAAAAAGGGAUUUUUUCAACAAACAGGAAAAUUAGGAGAAAAUUACAUAAGUUGGUCCACAAUGGAGAUUUAUCACGGAAGCAAAAAUUAUAGGUCUCUAUUUGCGGAUAACGAGAAUGCAGAUAUAAUAUCAUGACGGUGGAAAAGCUUCAGGAUUAUCAAAAUUUAUGAAUUAAAGAUCACUGGAGCUUUGAAGUAAAAAUUGACAAAAGGAAAUGACAAAAUGGAAAAGCCAACUGGAUAAUUAGAAACAAAAAGAAUGAAGACAGACGAAUGAAAUUAGUUAUUUUAAUUAAAGAUGGUCAGAACUCCAGACUUGUCGGGGAAUUUUUGGAUUUCAUUGUUGAGGAAGAGGAGAAUCAAAAAGACAAGGUUGGAAGUCUUGCGGAAUGGAGAGAACAACAUCGGCGAGUCAAGGGAAAAGAAAAGGAGGGAAACAAGGAAAGACAAGAAGAUCAGCGAUUUCAUUCGUUUGCUGCUCUCUCUCUCUUUUUCGCUCGAGAAGGAAGCAAACGACACAAAAACUGGCGAGCAUUGUCUGAGAGGAGAGCGCGUUUCAAAAGUCAGUGGAUACCCGCUUGGACCCAUGCAUACCUACCACUAACCUCCCAAUCGAGUUCAGCGCGGGAAGGGACACGUCGCGAUUUGAUUUUUAAAUGCAAACAAAUCUACAUCGUGGCAAAAGCGCCGCCGCCCGUCACUCAGAAUCGAGGGACUUGAGGAUAUCCCCUCAAAAAGAAUGGAUCGCGGAUUUUUUCAAUCAUCACAGAAAUCUUUCUCUUCUGAAUCCGCAAUUCCCUUUCCUUUUGAUCCUGAAACGAAAACCGAUUUUUAUGCUUUCUCUGUCAGACUCCACCAGGACUGAUCGAAAAAUUAAACAGGAUUUAAUUAUUAAAUAAGUAAAUGAAUCUUUGUAGGGAGGGAAAGGGACCACGACAUUCCGGGGACAAUGGUUUUUUUUUAGUUGGACUUUCGUAAUUGUCAUUUCUGACCAUCCGAACAUACCCCAUUGCAUUUGUGAGACUUUAAUAAUAUGCGGUUUGUCUCCUCAAGAAAAGACCGUCAUCUAAUAAAACGAUCAGCGAUUAUCGUGCAAUUAUGCCGUCUCAUUAAUCCACUGGCAAUUAUGUCUCUCCUUCCUUUUCAGUGUGUACUUGUUCUUUUCCUUCGCAUCGUUUUCGUUUCAAUAACUUAUGAGUCCUGCACAUGCAGCAAUGUUGUGACAAGAUGUGCAUACCAUAGAGGAGCAAUUACAGACAUAAGUGAAAAACCCGUUCGUACAAAGUAAAUCUAAAUAGGGUAGUGAAAUUUUUAAAUUAGGAAUUAUUUGAAAAAUUCUGAUUUGGAAGGAAUAUUUCUAUGUAUGAAUGAGGAUGAGCAAAAAAUAAGGAGGCAAAAAGAGAUGGAAUAAGGUUUAUUCAAAUAAAGCAAGAGGUCCGCGCGCGUGGUGACGAGCAGUGACGCUAUACUUUCGUUUGAUGUCGCCGCGGUUGUCGGCAUCUGAUUAGCAUUCCCCUUCCCGCUCGGUUGUCGAGAGAGCCGCGCCACCCUGCACCUCGUUCAUUUGGAGUGAGAGGGAGAGGAAAGAGAGUAGAAUGUAAUCAUUCGUCCGAGUGAUAGACGAAGAGGACAAGAUGAGGUAGAGUCGCGAUGUCACCGUUGGCAGUGCCUCGUCUUUUCAUCCAUCCGUCCGUCUGUCCAUCUAGUUGUCUAACCGUUGCCGGCCGGGACUGCCUGAGUUAUUCCUUGCCGGUGGACCGGUCGUACGAGAACUGCGGCGACAUCAUUUAAAUGUCCCUUUGCGGAGCCCUGGUUUUUAGUCCUCAUCUCCGCGAAGCCAACGGCCCUGGACCUCGAGAUACUCCUCACUCUGUCAAGCUAGAAAUUGCGCUGGUAUGUGCCUUGGAUUUAAACCCCAAGACUCGUCAUUCAAAGUCGGCAAGUUGUGAUCUCGAUUGCUCGCGAAUAAACCUGCUAACUGGAAUCUGGUUUCCUCAAACGAUAAAAAUGAUUUCCCCCUUUUCAAUGGUUACGAUUAUUUCAUUCAGAAUUCAUUCUCUCGACACAAUGCAAUCUCAUUUUCUCAAUUAUUGAGAAAUUAUUUUGUCCAUUAAUUUUAGAAAUGUUAACUUUUUCAGAAGAAUAAUCAUUUUUUUGAAAAUUUAUUUGAUUUAUUUGAAAAAGCAAACGGGUUAUUCUUCUUUAAUACAUUAGUACACUGAUAGAAAUAAGGGAUUAGUAAAUUUUGCCAUCAAAUUGAAUAUUAAACAAUUGUGGAUGUCACGCAGAUCUCUGAGGUACAUAUAAAUUGAAUAAGCAAAAUAAAUGAGGACAAUUAAUUAAACCAUUGAUAAUUUUAAAUAAAAAUAACAUGUCAGCAUAUAAAAAUCUUUAUGAUAAUAAGUGAACAUUGAAUGAUGCCCUUCAUUUGUGUAAUCAUUUAUAUUAAGAACAAAAAUGACUCUAGAAAAAUCUAAAUCGACUUUUGGUCUAUUUUCGAUUUCAUAACUCAAUUCUCUUAUUUAUAUACUUGUUUAAAAAGAUGGUUGGAUAGCCAUUUUCCUGUAAAGUAUUAAAAACCAUUUUCAUAUUAUCUGAAUGAUGUUUUGCUUCAGAUAAUUUUAUCGCUUUAUCUAUUAAGGAAAAAACAAUGCCAAUCUUUAUGUUUAUGUGGUGGUUCGACUCAAAAUUAUUUUUGUGUCGGAUGUAAUUUGGAUAAGCAAAACCAUUUCAGCAAGAACAUCUAUUAAAAAAAAACCUCCGAAAUAUUUGUAAGAGAAAUAAUAACAUGAAAUAGAAACAGUAUUGUAGGAGAAAUAGAUAAAGAGAAGGUGAAUUUAUGCUGCUAACAACUAACAAGUUUAUCAAAGUGUCGGUAUCUUGGAUGUGAAUCAUAAACAUAUCUAAUGUACAGGGAUCAGUGUGCCAGACAGAUUUGAUGCAUUGGCGGAUAAGUAGCGUUGAGUUCUCGCUUCAUUUAUCAAGGAACUAGCCCACCUGUCGUCACUCCUUGGCAUUUCAGUUUCUCUCAUACCCGAGAAAGAAGAGAAGAAGGUGGGUCCUCCAGCACACGCGUGCAUCGUACCAUUAGGUGCGUGUAAACGCAUCUCAUUGUCAAAAUGAAAUACGAACGCACACGAUAUACGAGCGACCUGCACCUUCCUAAAGACAUGCCUCCCGGAUAACAAAUAACAUAUCGACUUUAUUUUCAUCGACAUCUUUCAACUUCUGCAUUUCAUCUCAAUUCUAUUUUUAAACAAUUUUUUAAAUUUCUUCAUUUUUGAUAUGACUGGAGGCAUAUUAUAAAUUAUAAUUACCGAACUGGAAUUAAUUUUUGUGAUCUAUUUUAAUUGAUUUUUUUAUAUGAAAAAUGAAGGCAUCUUCUGUAAAAGUAGAUACUAAUUCAGAAGGAAACAAUUUCUUUUUUUGGAUAGAUUUUCCUAUUGUGAGAAAUUUAAAUCGAUUGGAUCUAAACUAAGGUGGAUGUGGCUGCGUAAAUUAUCCGAGCAGUGUGUACUUAUCGAAUGAUUUACUGGCAGGCAGCAAACUUUGAUUUACACACAACGCAACGCAUAACCUGGGCUUUAGUUAAAAGGAGAAGUUGAAGAAGAAGUUUACGAUUUGAAAUGUGAAAUAAGGUGGAAGAGGAUCUUUCAUCCCUUUUUCAACCCUUUCGAUAAGGUACUAAUCAGACUUAUCAGAUGUAUACAAUCGAACUUGGUUAAGUGAGAAAGCAAGGGACGGCCUAAUUAAUUUUACUAAAGGAGAUUUCGCACUUGUCCAAUUUCCCACUCAUCUGUUCCUAAAUGACCUUAUGACCCUUUGGAAAAUGUUACGGUUAUUCUUCGUUGGAUUAUCAUCAAUAAAAACUAAUAUAAAUUAACAUUCAUUUUCACUUUUUAAUUUUUAUUAAAGAAUUUGUAACCACCUUACAAAUUUUAUUUACCGAUGGUAAAUAAAAUGGAGUACAGAAACGCAUCGUAUACUUUGGUAUAUUGAUAGAUAUCAUUUGCAAAAUAAAAAAACAAUCAAUCAAACCACGAAUAAUCUUAAAAAUAAAUAAAAUAUAUGAGGACGUCUAUCCUCUAGCGACAAAAGACUAAAUCUAGCUUGUAAAAUCUUGAAUUCAGUUCCUCUAGGAGGAUAAACUUUAUCCUCCCUCCAAGAUAAAAAUUUUUAAAAUUGUUUAUGGCAGUAUUCAAUUGCCUCACGAUACUUGGGAAAGUUCGGAGACCAGAUAACAGACGCAUAAAUGAAUUUGGAUACUACAAAUGUUUGGAAGAGAAUUUCUAUAGUUGAGAUUCUCUUAAACUGUUUACAUGACCUAAUUAGAAAUCCAAGGGUUUUACUAGCGCUGUUAACAAUGUUACUAAUGUGAUCAUUAAAGGAUAAAUUAGGAAUAAAAAUUACACCAAGAUCUUUAAUUUUAUUUAGCCUUUCAAGCGCAUACCUUCAAUAAAGUACUGGUAUGUGAUGAUUGAUUUCCCUAUCAGAAAUUUCAUUACUUUACAUUUACGAAUGUUCAAUUUUAAAUUAUUAUCUUUACACCAAUUAUAAAAAUUAUCCACAUUAUCUUGCAAAACUUGACAUGAAUAAACAUUAGAAAUUGGAAGGUAAAGUUUUACAUCAUCAGCAUAAAGAAGAUGGUAGCAAAAUUAAGAAAAGAGAGACAUCGUUCAUAUAUGUAGAAAAAAGUAAUGCUCCUAAAUGGGAUCCUUGAGGAACUCCAGAUGAAGGAAAGAAGCAUAUGAAACACAGCCACUAUAUUAUACAAAAUUUGGUCUGUUAGUUUAAUAAGACCUGAUUAAUUGUAUUAAUUUAUCAGGAAAAUCAAAUGUAAGAAGCUUAUCAAUUAAUAAGUUAUGAUCAACUUUAUCAAAAGCUUUGGUAGCGUCAGUGUAAAUAACAUUAAUUGGAGGGAAAUCAUUAAAUAGUUCAUUAAUAUGUUGCGUGAAAACCAAUAAAUUUGUUAUUGGAUGUAUUCCACGUCAGUUCAACACAAAAAAUUUUAUUAGGUUUUGGGAUUCGGUUGAAAUUGGGUAGAUUAUAUCCU